rfam:Paucibacter sp. KCTC 42545, complete genome.
GCGUUCCUCACUGGAGAGAGAUGGGUCUUUGAGCCCAUCCACUGAAGGGGCAAGCUGCGGGCGAUAUGCCGGCGGCCAAUCUCUCAAGUAAAGCGGACAGCGAGGGCAUA